UGUCUACUAGCCGUUGGAGCUCAUGAAGCUUUAGUGGCGCAGCUAACGCGAUAAGUAGACCGCCUGGGGGAGUACGGCCGCAAGGUUAAAACUCAAAUGAAUUGACGGGGGCCCGCACAAGCGGUGGAGCAUGUGGUUUAAUUCGAUGCAACGCGAAGAACCUUACCUGGUCUUGACAUAGUGAGGAUCCUACAGAGAUGUGGGAGUGCCUUAGGGAACUCACAUACAGGUGCUGCAUGGCUGUCGUCAG
rnacentral:rRNA from 1 species